rnacentral:tRNA from 1 species
UUAAUGAACUUGAUAUAAGUAUAUGUUUUGAAAACAUAAUAAAGAAGUAAAUUCUUCUAUUAACUU